GAUGAACGCUGGCGGCGUGCCUAAUACAUGCAAGUCGAGCGAACGGACGAGAAGCUUGCUUCUCUGAUGUUAGCGGCGGACGGGUGAGUAACACGUGGAUCACCUACCUAUAAGACUGGGAUAACUUCGGGAAACCGGAUCUAAUACCGGCUAAUAUUUUGAACCGCAUGGUUCAAAAGUGAAAGACGCUCUUGCUGUCACUUAUAGAUGGAUCCGCGCUGCAUUAGCUAGUUGGUAAGGUAACGGCUUACCAAGGCAACGAUGCAUAGCCGACCUGAGAGGGUGAUCGGCCACACUGGAACUGAGACACGGUCCAGACUCCUACGGGAGGCAGCAGUAGGGAAUCUUCCGCAAUGGGCGAAAGCCUGACGGAGCAACGCCGCGUGAGUGAUGAAGGUCUUCGGAUCGUAAAACUCUGUUAUUAGGGAAGAACAUAUGUGUAAGUAAAUGUGCACAUCUUGACGGUACCUAAUCAGAAAGCAACGGCUAACUACGUG
rnacentral:rRNA from 1 species